rnacentral:rRNA from 1 species
UCCUACGGGACGCAGCAGUAGGGAAUCUUCCACAAUGGGCGAAAGCCUGAUGGAGCAACGCCGCGUGGGUGAAGAAGGUCUUCGGAUCGUAAAACCCUGUUGUUAGAGAAGAAAGUGCGUGAGAGUAACUGUUCACGUUUCGACGGUAUCUAACCAGAAAGCCACGGCUAACUACGGGCCAGCAGCCGCGGUAAUACGUAGGUGGCAAGCGUUAUCCGGAUUUAUUGGGCGUAAAGGGAACGCAGGCGGUCUUUUAAGUCUGAUGUGAAAGCCUUCGGCUUUACCGGAGUAGUGCAUUGGGAACU